UACGUAGGGGGCUAGCGUUGUCCGGAAUCAUUGGGCGUAAAGAGCGUGUAGGCGGCUCGGUAAGUCCGCUGUGAAAGUCCAGGGCUCAACCCUGGAAUGCCAGUGGAAACUGUCGAGCUAGAGUCCGGAAGAGGCGAGUGGAAUUCCUGGUGUAGCGGUGAAAUGCGCAGAUAUCAGGAGGAGCACCGGUGGCGAAGGCGGGUCUCUGGGCCGUUACUGACGCUGAGGAGCGAAAGCGUGGGGAGCAAACAGG
rnacentral:rRNA from 1 species